rnacentral:misc_RNA from 1 species
AAUCACUUGGAAUCUUGAGGGUUUGUGUUGAAGCUGUUGCCAUACUUGAAGAAGGACUGGAACAUAUUGACGAGGGAGAUGCCUUUAUUGCGCUACGCAGAGGUUAGUGGUUGUUUUCAAAUAGACAAUUUCCCGACAGCUGAUCAGGACAACAGGCCGGGGAUCUGGAGGGCAUAAUCAGCAACUAAUGAAUCACUCAUGGCAAUAUAUUUGGUGCUGUCGCGUGAAUUCAGAAUAAUUGAAUGCUAAUUGAUUGUGAUGUUAGAUGUGUUCUUAAUCUUGUUGUAGUUGUAAUAUAUGGAUGUGAUUUUGUGCGUUCGAAUUGGAGGUAAUGUAUGCAAUUAAGUGUCUUAAUACGCUGUUGAGAGAGGUUGAAUAUUUGGGUACAAGGGAACACUGGAAAAUAGUGCUC